rnacentral:rRNA from 1 species
GACGAACGCUGGCGGCGUGCUUAACACGUGCAAGUCGAACGGAAAGGCCCUGCUUUUGUGGGGUGCUCGAGUGGCGAACGGGUGAGUAACACGUGAGUAACCUGCCCUUGACUUUGGGAUAACUUCAGGAAACUGGGGCUAAUACCGGAUAGGAGCUCCUGCUGCAUGGUGGGGGUUGGAAAGUUUCGGCGGUUGGGGAUGGACUCGCGGCUUAUCAGCUUGUUGGUGGGGUAGUGGCUUACCAAGGCUUUGACGGGUAGCCGGCCUGAGAGGGUGACCGGCCACAUUGGGACUGAGAUACGGCCCAGACUCCUACGGGAGGCAGCAGUGGGGAAUAUUGCACAAUGGGCGGAAGCCUGAUGCAGCAACGCCGCGUGCGGGAUGACGGCCUUCGGGUUGUAAACCGCUUUCGCCUGUGACGAAGCGUGAGUGACGGUAAUGGGUAAAGAAGCACCGGCUAACUACGUGCCAGCAGCCGCGGUGAUACGUAGGGUGCGAGCGUUGUCCGGAUUUAUUGGGCGUAAAGGGCUCGUAGGUGGUUGAUCGCGUCGGAAGUGUAAUCUUGGGGCUUAACCCUGAGCGUGCUUUCGAUACGGGUUGACUUGAGGAAGGUAGGGGAGAAUGGAAUUCCUGGUGGAGCGGUGGAAUGCGCAGAUAUCAGGAGGAACACCAGUGGCGAAGGCGGUUCUCUGGGCCUUUCCUGACGCUGAGGAGCGAAAGCGUGGGGAGCGAACAGGCUUAGACACCCUGGUAGUCCACGCUGUAAACGGUGGGUACUAGGUGUGGGGUCCAUUCCACGGGUUCCGUGCCGUAGCUAACGCUUUAAGUACCCCGCCUGGGGAGUACGGCCGCAAGGCUAAAACUCAAAGGAAUUGACGGGGCCCCGCACAAGCGGCGGAGCAUGCGGAUUAAUUCGAUGCAACGCGUAGAACCUUACCUGGGUUUGACAUGGAUCGGGAGCGCUCAGAGAUGGGUGUGCCUCUUUUGGGGUCGGUUCACAGGUGGUGCAUGGCUGUCGUCAGCUCGUGUCGUGAGAUGUUGGGUUAAGUCCCGCAACGAGCGCAACCCUUGUUCACUGUUGCCAGCACGUUAUGGUGGGGACUCAGUGGAGACCGCCGGGGUCAACUCGGAGGAAGGUGGGGAUGACGUCAAGUCAUCAUGCCCCUUAUGUCCAGGGCUUCACGCAUGCUACAAUGGCUGGUACAGAGAGUGGCGAGCCUGUGAGGGUGAGCGAAUCUCGGAAAGCCGGUCUCAGUUCGGAUUGGGGUCUGCAACUCGACCUCAUGAAGUCGGAGUCGCUAGUAAUCGCAGAUCAGCAACGCUGCGGUGAAUACGUUCCCGGGGCU